AUACUUACCUGGCAGGGGAGAUACCAUGAUCAUGAAGGUGGUUUUCCCAGGGCGAGGCUUAUCCAUUGCACUCCGGAUGUGCUGACCCCUGCGAUUUCCCCAAAUGUGGGAAACUCGACUGCAUAAUUUGUGGUAGUGGGGGACUGCGUUUGUGCUCUCCCCUG
ensembl:snRNA U1 U1 spliceosomal RNA